rnacentral:rRNA from 1 species
GACGAACGCUGGCGGCGUGCUUAACACAUGCAAGUCGAACGGAAAGGCCCUGCUUUUGUGGGGUGCUCGAGUGGCGAACGGGUGAGUAACACGUGAGUAACCUGCCCUUGACUUUGGGAUAACUUCAGGAAACUGGGGCUAAUACCGGAUAGGAGCUCCUGCUGCAUGGUGGGGGUUGGAAAGUUUCGGCGGUUGGGGAUGGACUCGCGGCUUAUCAGCUUGUUGGUGGGGUAGUGGCUUACCAAGGCUUUGACGGGUAGCCGGCCUGAGAGGGUGACCGGCAACAUUGGGACUGAAAAACGGCCCAGACUCCUACGGGAGGCAGCAGUGGGGAAUAUUGCACAAUGGGCGGAAGCCUGAUGCAGCAACGCCGCGUGCGGGAUGACGGCCUUCGGGUUGAAAACCGCUUUCGCCUGUGACGAAGCGUGAGUGACGGUAAUGGGUAAAGAAGCACCGGCUAACUACGUG